UUAGCAGGGGACUGAGUCAUGCCCUGAUAUCGUAUGCAGAAAAGUGGGACUGUGAGGAUAAAAAGAAGUUAAGGUUUGUACAGCUCAACUCAUAGGCCAGAUCACAGCACAAAACCCAAGCUGGAAAAGGAUAGAGCAGAAAGCUUUAUGAACUCAGACAAGUUGAACAUCUUCACCCUCCUGGUGGGGGAGAAAGAACUGGCAGUUGCAUUUAAGGAUAUCUCUUAUAGAAAAUGAGCAACUGAACUGGUGCUAGCAAGACUAUGGGACUUCCUUGCAAGGAGUAUUGGUUGCUGAUCAUUAUUUUUAUCCGCCUGUACCAUACGGCUGGUGCGUGAGGUCUUGUUAACUUAUGACUGAACCAGGUUUAAAUGUAAGGGGAGAGUCUUGAGGGUGGACGCAGGAACAGACAAGAAGAUGAAAAUGUCCAGGCAGAGAUGGUUUGUUGAUGAACUCUGCACUGCAUCUGAGACUUGAAGACCUCUCCAGAGAGCUGGGUUGACAACAAGCUUCUUCAUCAGUUCUUCAGGCAAUUAGAGUAUGUUCCUGUGAUCCAGGAAGGAGGGAGCAGAAAAUCUAAAGACAACAAGUGCAAGAGCCACCGUCUUGGUGAAAAGGUCGUCCUUAAACUAGAUGAUACUUGUUUCAUGAUGCAUUUCUGGCCAUGGUGAACACUGAAGAAGUGACCACAGCAGCAGCAACAGUAGAUCCCAGGGCACUACUGGACUUCAGCGUGACAUCUGGGUGAACACUGAAGAAGUGACCACAGCAGCAGCGAGAAGUGACCACAGCAGCAGCAACAGUAGAUCCCAGGGCACUACUGGACUUCAGUGUGACAUCUGAUGCAUAGUUUUAAGCAAAAAUUUUGUUCAAUCUCCAAUGCAGAGAGUUGGGCUGGAGAGAACAGCCAUAUCAUAACCUAGAUGAAAAAGUGGGUGUUGCAUCUGUAGCUUGUUUUUCACAUGAUGUCUUGCAGCUUUCACUGGUGAGGCUUUCUGGGUUGUGUUAAUAAUCACAGCAUACUUUCCUUUAUCUAAGGCCCACUGCCAAUGUUGAUUGAACUCUGUGGUCAGUGAGUCUAGAUCUGAAGUCUUGGCAUUCAUAAGAUUGUCA
rnacentral:lncRNA from 1 species